UGAGGAACCCACCCCGGAGACCGGGAUAACCCUCCGAAAGGAGAGCUAAUACCGCAUACCCUCAUCGGACCGCAUGAUCUGAUGAGGAAAUGGAUUCCGCUCCGGGACGGCCUCGCGGCCUAUCAGCUUGUUGGUGGGGUGAUGGCUCACCAAGGCGAUGACGGGUAGCCAGCCAGAGAGGGCGACCGGCCACACUGGGACUGAGACACGGCCCAGACUCCUGCGGGAGCAG
rnacentral:rRNA from 1 species